rnacentral:piRNA from 1 species
UGAGUUUGAGAAACGUAGUCCACUAA